rnacentral:lncRNA from 1 species
CCUCCUUUUCUCCUCUCUCCCUCACGCCACCACCAGAGGAGCCUCAUCUCCUCCCCUCCAUCAGAUAGGCGCCCCUCCACCUCUCCUUUCCCCAUGGUGGCAGUUCCAACUCCCUCUCCUUCCCCUCCAUCAAAACCAACAGAAAAAUGUGUCUGCAGUUCCGUUUUGCCACUGCACGUCUCUUUCCAUCGCCGGAUUUCUAGAAUUCUUCAUAGAGUGCUGCAG